UCGAUCAGGCUGCGUUCACCGCUCAGUUGUCGGGUGCUGUGAAGAACGUUCACGCCAACUAUUAUGCUGGCCCGGCGGGCGCAGCUCCGGUUGAGCCGAACGGCGCUCCGGAAGAUGCUUGGGGCUUCGCGAUCUCGGGGGCCUUCAGCUGAAGAACCUGCCGACCGGCCCUGGCGACAAGCUGUCGUUGGAUGCGACCUAUGCUAACGGUGCG
rnacentral:misc_RNA from 1 species